rnacentral:rRNA from 1 species
CCGGAUCCCAUCAGAACUCUGAAGUUAAGCGCCUUUGGGCCGGAAUAGUACUGGGAUGGGUGACCUCCCGGGAAGUCCCGGUGCUGCAUCCAU